rnacentral:rRNA from 1 species
AUUGAACGCUGGCGGCGUGCUUUACACAUGCAAGUCGAACGGCAGCACAGGUUUCGGUCUGGUGGCGAGUGGCGAACGGGUGAGUAAUACAUCGGAACGUACCUUUUAGUUGGGGAUAACGCAUCGAAAGAUGUGCUAAUACCGAAUAAUCUAUGAGGAGGAAAGGCGGGAUCGGAAACGACCUGUCGCUGAAAGAGCGGCCGAUGGCCGAUUAGCUAGUUGGCGGGGUAAAGGCCUACCAAGGCGAUGAUCGGUAGCUGUUCUGAGAGGAAGAUCAGCCACACUGGGACUGAGACACGGCCCAGACUCCUACGGGAGGCAGCAGUGGGGAAUUUUGGACAAUGGGGGCAACCCUGAUCCAGCAACGCCGCGUGAAUGAAGAAGGCCUUAGGGUUGUAAAGUUCUUUUGUCGCAGAGCAAAAUGCUUGUACUAAUACUAUGAGUAGAUGAGAGUAUGCGAAGAAUAAGCACCGGCUAACUACGUGCCAGCCGCCGCGGUAA